rfam:Apaloderma vittatum contig82818, whole genome shotgun sequence.
GGCCGGUUAGCUCAGUGGUUUGAGCAGCAGUGCUGACAACAAUGACAACACUGAAGACGCGGGUUCAAUUCCCGCUCAGUCCC